rnacentral:rRNA from 1 species
GAUGAACGCUGGCGGCGUGCCUAAUACAUGCAAGUAGAACGCUGAAGGAGGAGCUUGCUCUUCUGGAUGAGUUGCGAACGGGUGAGUAACGCGUAGGUAACCUGCCUGGUAGCGGGGGAUAACUAUUGGAAACGAUAGCUAAUACCGCAUGACAACAGUUAUUGCAUGAUAACUGUUUAAAAGGGGCAACUGCUCCACUACCAGAUGGACCUGCGUUGUAUUAGCUAGUUGGUGAGGUAACGGCUCACCAAGGCGACGAUACAUAGCCGACCUGAGAGGGUGAUCGGCCACACUGGGACUUAGACACGGCCCAGACUCCUACGGGAGGCAGCAGUAGGGAAUCUUCAGCAAUGGACGGAAGACGGACCGAGCAACGCCGCGGGAGUGAAGAAGGUUGUCGGAUCGUAAAGCUCUGUUGUAAGAGAAGAACGAGUGUGAGAGUGGAAAGUUCACGCUGUGAAGGUAUCUUACCAGAAAGGGACGGCUAACUACGUG